rnacentral:lncRNA from 1 species
UGGGGGCAGGGCCAGUGGUUUGGGGAGGGAGUGGGAGUGGGAGAGGGAGAUGGGUUUGGAGGACAGUGUGGAGCGACGGCGGAGGGAGAAGGAGGGGAGGUGGGGGCGGAGGCGGAGGCCGAGGUGGUGGCAGGUGAGCGGCGAGGCCGCCGGCGUGGAGGAAGCCAUGGCGGCGGCGGCGGCGGAGAUUGGAAUGGAGAUGGAUGGGAAUGGAGGGGAUGGGGGAGGGAGGUGGGGUUUAAUUGGAUGGACGGCGGGGAUGGGGUGGGGGCGCAAGCCGCCUUGGGU